rnacentral:rRNA from 1 species
AACGAACGCUGGCGGCAUGCCUAACACAUGCAAGUCGAACGAGACCUUCGGGUCUAGUGGCGCACGGGUGCGUAACGCGUGGGAACCUGCCUUUAGGUUCGGAAUAACUCAGAGAAAUUUGAGCUAAUACCGGAUGAUGUCUUCGGACCAAAGAUUUAUCGCCUUUAGAUGGGCCCGCGUUGGAUUAGCUAGUUGGUGGGGUAAAGGCCUACCAAGGCGACGAUCCAUAGCUGGUCUGAGAGGAUGAUCAGCCACACUGGGACUGAGACACGGCCCAGACUCCUACGGGAAGCAGCAGUGGGGAAUAUUGGACAAUGGGCGAAAGCCUGAUCCAGCAAUGCCACGUGAGUGAUGAAGGCCUUAGGGUUGUAAAGCUCUUUUACCCGAGAUGAUAAUGACAGUAUCGGGAGAAUAAGCUCCGGCUAACUCCGUG